rfam:Trichobilharzia regenti genome assembly, scaffold: TRE_scaffold0005944
AUGCAGCUGACGAGUUCCGAAUAGGGCAAAAUGCGCAUCCUGGAU